rnacentral:rRNA from 1 species
UACGUAGGGUGCAAGCGUUAAUCGGAAUUACUGGGCGUAAAGCGUGCGCAGGCGGUUCGCUAAGACCGAUGUGAAAUCCCCGGGCUUAACCUGGAAACUGCAUUGGUGACUGGCGGGCUAGAGUAUGGCAGAGGGGGGUAGAAUUCCACGUGUAGCAGUGAAAUGCGUAGAGAUGUGGAGGAAUACCGAUGGCGAAGGCAGCCCCCUGGGCCAAUACUGACGCUCAUGCACGAAAGCGUGGGGAGCAAACAGG